rnacentral:rRNA from 1 species
UACGGGGGGAGCAAGCGUUGUUCGGAUUUACUGGGCGUAAAGGGCGCGUAGGCGGCCAGCACAAGUCAGUUGUGAAAUCUCCGAGCUUAACUCGGAACGGUCAACUGAUACUGUGCGGCUAGAGUGCGGAAGGGCAACUGGAAUUUCUUGGUGUAGCGGUGAAAUGCGUAGAUAUCAAGAGGAACACCUGCGGCGAAGGCGGGUUGCUGGGCCGACACUGACGCUGAGGCGCGAAAGCGUGGGAGCAAACAGG